rnacentral:lncRNA from 1 species
AAGAGAUGAUCUGGCACAACAGAAAAGGGCCCUGAAACUGUGAUCCUGGAGAUACCCUUGUCUAAGUUAUUUUUAACGUUUGUUUCUGAGUUCUGCUGUGGCAGUUUCAUCUGCUGUUGCCAGAGCUGAUGAGUAUGUCUGCAGAUCUGUGGCGUUUCUCUGAGUGGGUGGAUCACUGCAGUGACAGUUGCCAUCUCCAGAAAAGCAGUAGGAUUUCAUUAUAAGGAGACAACAUGUUUCUUUCUGAAUUUGUUGUUGAGAUCCAGGGAGUUGUGUCUAGGAGAUCUUCAAUUCAGAUGGCAGAAACACUGUGAGAUGUGCAGUGGAAAACAGGCUGAUACAACCUGCAAAUAAACCCAAAGUG